UCGGGAAUUUUGGGCAAUGGGCGAAGCCUGACCCAGCAACGCCGCGUGAAGGAUGAAGUAUUUCGGUAUGUAAACUUCGAAAGAAUAGGAAGAAUAAAUGACGGUACUAUUUAUAAGGUCCGGCUAACUACGUGCCAGCAGCCGCGGUAAUACGUAGGGACCAAGCGUUGUUCGGAUUUACUGGGCGUAAAGGGCGCGUAGGCGGCAAUUCAAGUCAUCUGUGAAAUCUCCGGGCUUAACUCGGAACGGUCAGAUGAUACUGCUUUGCUAGAGUGCAGAAGGGGCAAUCGGAAUUCUUGGUGUAGCGGUGAAAUGCGUAGAUAUCAAGAGGAACACCUGAGGUGAAGACGGGUUGCUGGGCUGACACUGACGCUGAGGCGCGAAAGCCAGGGGAGCAAACGGGAUUAGAUACCCCUGUAGUCCCUGAGCGGGCUGGCAAGGCGCAU
rnacentral:rRNA from 1 species